GAUGAACGUUGGCGGUGUGCCUAAUACAUGCAAGUCGAACGGAGACUGUAGCAAUACUGUCUUAGUGGCGAACGGGUGAGUAACGCGUUGGUGAUCUGCCUCGAAGUGUGGAAUAACCUCCCGAAAGGGAAGCUAAUACCGCAUAGUCUCUCAAGGUUUAGAAAAUUGAGAGUAAAGGAUUUAUUCGCUUCGAGAGGAGCCUGCGUCCCAUCAGCUAGUUGGUAGGGUAACGGCCUACCAAGGCAAUGACGGGUAGGGGACCUGAGAGGGUGGCCCCCCACAAUGGAACUGAAACACGGUCCAUACACCUACGGGUGGCAGCAGUAGGGAAUAUUAGAAAUGGGCGGAAGCCUGAUCUAGCAACACCGCGUGUGCGAUGAAGGCCUUGGGUCGUAAAGCACUUUUUGGUAGGGAAUAGGAAGGAAGGUACCUCCAGAAUAAGUCUCGGCUAACUACGUGCCAGCAGCCGCGGUAAACCACGAGAGUA
rnacentral:rRNA from 1 species